rnacentral:rRNA from 1 species
CCUACGGGAGGCAGCAGUGGGGAAUAUUGCACAAUGGGCGAAAGCCUGAUGCAGCAACGCCGCGUGAGCGAUGAAGGCCUUAGGGUCGUAAAGCUCUGUCCUCAAGGAAGAUAAUGACGGUACUUGAGGAGGAAGCCACGGCUAACUACGUGCCAGCAGCCGCGGUAAUACGUAGGUGGCGAGCGUUGUCCGGAUUUACUGGGCGUAAAGGGAGCGUAGGCGGAUUUUUAAGUGAGAUGUGAAAUACCCGGGCUCAACUUGGGUGCUGCAUUUCAAACUGAAAGUCUAGAGUGCAGGAGAGGAGAGUGGAAUUCCUAGUGUAGCGGUGAAAUGCGUAGAGAUUAGGAAGAACACCAGUGGCGAAGGCGGCUUACUGGACUGUAACUGACACUGAGGCUCGAAAGCGUGGGGAGCAAACAGGAUUAGAUACCCGAGUA